GAUGAACGCUAGCGGCAGGCUUAAUACAUGCAAGUCGUGGGGCAGCAUGAGUAGCAAUACUUGAUGGCGACCGGCAAACGGGUGCGGAACACGUACACAACCUUCCGAUAAGUGGGGAAUAGCCCAGAGAAAUUUGUAUUAAUACCCCGUAACAUAUAGAGUAGGCAUCUUCUUUAUAUUAUAGCUUAGUCGCUUACUGAUGGGUGUGAGUCUGAUUAGGUAGUUGGCGGGGUAACGGCCCACCAAGCCUACGAUCAGUAGAUGAUGUGAAAGCAUGAUCAGCCACACGGGCACUGAGACACGGGCCCGACUCCUACGGGAGGCAGCAGUAAGGAAUAUUGGACAAUGGGCGAAAGCCUGAUCCAGCCAUGCCGCGUGAAGGAUUAAGGUCCUCUGGAUUGUAAACUUCUUUUAUUUGGGACGAAAAAAGGGAAUUCUUUCCCACUUGACGGAACCAAGUGAAUAAGCACCGGCUAACUCCGUGCCAGCCGCCGCCGUAAGAC
rnacentral:rRNA from 1 species